UGUAGCUCAGUGGUAGAGCAUGUAACUAACAUGUACAAGGGCCUGGGUUUGAUCCCCACCA
rnacentral:tRNA from 1 species